GAUCCCACAAAUAGGACUUGUCAUGGUUGGAAAAUGUUUCCGUCCAGUGCCUAUUCUUGGUAGCACUUAUGGACAACGAGUGCUACGAAAAAUAGGAUCCAGAGGAAAGCGUGGUCCCUUCACAGGGAAAAGUUUAAACUAACCUGAAUCAGAUAGCAACAGGAGAAUUGAGCAUACCCUCAGGAUUUGCAGAAGAAAACUUUCUGUUACCCUAUCCUCAACCAUCACAAACACUCUCCUGAUCUUACACCUUAUGCCAUGCCUUAAAGGGGUCGUAAUACUCAGUGUGCUGGCUGUGAGUACUUGGAUCAGGCAAGGGGAAGUGAAUGAAAAGCUGUCAACAACUGACAAGCUUCCUGAUUAAGCAGUCAUCCUACUCCACUCCGCACCCUUCAAAGCGCCCAGCAGAAACUCUGACCUAAUUGCCUCUGCCUCAGUCUUCACCCUGGGAAACAUUCUCAAUGCCUGCAAGUAAAUUCCCAGCCAAGGUAGCCUUCCUCCUGCUCAAGGAUGACCACGAAACCUUCGAGGAGCAAUGGAUAGGGCAAGCAAUCGAGCGAUUUCCAGCAUCCACUGUAUUGUGCAUUUGCUCCAGUAAUUCUUCUACAGUUCAAAUUCUUCAUUUCUAGGUAGUGAUGGUUCCAAAAGUUGUUAACAACAUUCAAGAAUUGACGUCUUCUUAGGAUCCAUGCAGUAAAAGCUCAGGAUUUCUCUUCCAAUGUGUCUUGGUCAUUAUUCAACAUGUAAUCCCUCUGCCUGUUCAUUUAUCUCAAAUGCACUGAAAUACUUCAUCAAAUGUCUUUAGUAUAUUGUAUCUCACAAACAAUAAUUUGGUAGUCCAGAACUUGUAUAUUGCUGAUUAGAGAGUCAUGUUGCCCAAGCUUUUUCUUUUGCACUCAUCAGGAAAAACGCAAGAAGGCCAAAUUUGAUUUGAUUUGAUUUAUUAUUGUCACAUGUACCUAAGUAGAGUGAAAAGUUUUGUGUUGCAAGCAGUACCAGCAGAUCGUAACAUACAAGGACAUACAGAUCAUAGGGUGUUUAGACAUAGUGAGGCAUACAAAGCAUACAAUUUCAAAUGAUCACAACUUAUACUCUUUCUUUAGGAGAAAGAUUUUGAUUGGUCAGUAAAUCAGCUUAGAUUUGUUGAGGUGCCAGACAAUCAUUAUAUCAUUUACUACAGAAGGAGUUCUUCAGCCAAUCUAGUUUGCACUAUCUACAUUUCCGACUUUCUAUGGAGAAAGCAAUACUGAACUUUAGGCAUCCCAAGAUCCUGGGAAAUUCAAAAGACAGGGCCUGGUUUGGAUAUUUUCCUUUUUGUUUGGAGACAUAUUGCUUCCUCACACAAAUGAUGAUGACCAUGAAUCAUAGAAUCCCUACAGUGUGGAAACAGGCCAUUUGGCCCAAGAAAUCCAUACCAAACCUCCGAAGGGUAUUCCACCCAAACCCAUCCCCGUAACCAUGCAUUUCCUAUGGCUAAUCCACCUAACUUACGCACCUCGGACACUAUGGGAAAUUUAGCAUGGCCAAUCCACCUAGCCUGCACAUCUUUAGGCUGUGGGAGAAAAACAGAGAACUCAACGGAAACCCAUGUGGACACAGGGAUUGUGCAAACUCCAUACAGACAAGGGUGGAAUCAAACCCGGGCGGGUGGGGUGCAGCAGGAGUGCUAACCAUUGAGCCGCCCCAAAGCUUGAUCGAUUUCUGUUCUUCCAAGAAAUGGAAAAAACGGACAAAGACAGAUUAAUAGAGUUAAGUCAGAGAUCAGCCAUGAUCUGUUUAGAUGUCAGAAUAGGCUUGAGUGGCUAGAUGGCCUCCUCCUAUUCCUAUGUUUAAAAAUGAUUGAAUUCUAAGCAUAAAAUUCUACCUACAACAAUGAUAUUUACCACCGAGAAGGAGAAGGGAAGCAGAUGCAUGGAGAAAGAUUACCUGGAAGUUUCCUUCUAACCACUUACCAUCCUAACUUGGAAAUAUAGCACCAUUCCUUCACUGUUGCUGGUCAAAAUCUUGGACUUCCAUCCAAUAGCACAGUAGGUGUACCUAACCACCAUGACCUAAAGUGGUUCAGAAAGGCAGGGAUGGGCAAUAAAUGCUGGUUGUGAAGGAAAAAUAAUCUUAAAAAUCAAAGGGAAAAAGACCAAUAUUGAUUUGAAGCAAAAUCAGAAAUUGCUGGAAAAGGUCAGUGGGUGUGGCAGCAUCUGUGGUGAAAUAUGAGAGUUCUGAGGAAGGGUCACUGGACCCGAAAAGUUAAAUUUGACUUCUCUCCACAGAUGCUGCCAGACCUGCUGAGCUUUGCUGCUGCAAUUUGUGUUUUUGUUUCUGAUUUUCUAGAUAUGCAGUUCUUUCGGUUAUUAAUUUUGAAGUUUGAAAUCAAUUGGAUUUGCUUUGAAGUAAUCCAUUUCUGUAGGACUCAAAGGGAGAAAAAUAAUGAACAUUUAACUAGUGAGAGAUUGCUUCUUUUAAAAGUUAUUAAUUAUGGGUGUUCUUAAAGGAAUAAAAUAUAAACCACUUUUCAAAUCACAGUGAAACAGUAUACAUGAUUUAUACAGGAGUUCUGAAUUUCAGUCUCUUGGUUCUGGCUCCAGUUUACCAACCAGAAUGUAGGUGUAAUUGUGAACCUGUUCCAUUAUUGGCAUGUGAGAAUAUUCCUUUGAGGAUUAACAAAUUGUGGCUAUAAUAA